rnacentral:rRNA from 1 species
UACGUAGGGGGCGAGCGUUGUCCGGAUUUAUUGGGCGUAAAGAGCGCGUAGGCGGCUCAUCAAGUCGUGCGUGAAAUACCUCGGCUCAACCGGGGGGAGUCGUGCGAUACUGGUGGGCUUGAGGCUGGUAGGGGGAAGUGGAAUUCCCGGUGUAGUGGUGGAAUGCGUAGAUAUCGGGAGGAACACCAGUGGCGAAGGCGGCUUCCUGGACCAGUCCUGACGCUGAGGCGCGAAAGCGUGGGGAGCGAACUGA